AGCGACGCCGCGUGAGGGAUGACGGCCUUCGGGUUGUAAACCUCUUUCAGCAGGGACGAAGCGAAAGUGACGGUACCUGCAGAAGAAGCACCGGCCAACUACGUGCCAGCAGCCGCGGUAAUACGUAGGGUGCGAGCGUUGUCCGGAAUUACUGGGCGUAAAGAGCUCGUAGGCGGUUUGUCGCGUCGUCUGUGAAAACCAGCAGCUCAACUGCUGGCUUGCAGGCGAUACGGGCAGACUUGAGUACUGCAGGGGAGACUGGAAUUCCUGGUGUAGCGGUGAAAUGCGCAGAUAUCAGGAGGAACACCGGUGGCGAAGGCGGGUCUCUGGGCAGUAACUGACGCUGAGGAGCGAAAGCGUGGGUAGCGAACAGGAUUAGAUACCCUGGUAGUCCACGCCGUAAACGGUGGGCGCUAGGUGUGGGUUUCCUUCCACGGGAUCCGUGCCGUAGCUAACGCAUUAAGCGCCCCGCCUGGGGAGUACGGCCGCAAGGCUAAAACUCAAAGGAAUUGACGGGGGCCCGCACAAGCGGCGGAGCAUGUGGAUUAAUUCGAUGCAACGCGAAGAACCUUACCUGGGUUUGACAUAUACCGGAAAGCCGUAGAGAUACGGCCCCCCUUGUGGUCG
rnacentral:rRNA from 1 species